rnacentral:rRNA from 1 species
UACGUAGGGGGCGAGCGUUGUCCGGAAUUAUUGGGCGUAAAGGGCUCGUAGGCGGUCUGUUGCGUCGGGAGUGAAAACUCAGGGCUUAACCCUGAGCCUGCUUCCGAUACGGGCAGACUAGAGGUAUGCAGGGGAGAACGGAAUUCCUGGUGUAGCGGUGAAAUGCGCAGAUAUCGGGAAGAACACCCGUGGCGAAGGCGGCUCUCUGGGACGGUACUGACGCUGAGACGCGAAAGCGUGGGGGAGCGAACAGG